UACAGGGGGGGCAAGCGUUGUUCGGAAUUACUGGGCGUAAAGCGCACGCAGGCGGUCUGCUAAGUUUGGAGUGACAGUUGGUGGCUUAACUGCCAAAGUGCUUCGAAAACUGACAGACUUGAGGGCUUCAGAGGGACACGGAAUUCCGGGUGGAGUGGUGAAAUGCGUAGAGAUCCGGAGGAACACCAAAGGCGAAGGCAGUGUCCUGGGGAGUACCUGACGCUCAGGUGCGAAAGCCAGGGGAGCGAACGGG
rnacentral:rRNA from 1 species